rnacentral:rRNA from 1 species
CCCAGACUCCUACGGGAGGCAGCAGUGGGGAAUAUUGCACAAUGGGGGAAACCCUGAUGCAGCGACGCCGCGUGAGUGAAGAAGUAUUUCGGUAUGUAAAGCUCUCUCAGCAGGGAAGAUAAUGACGGUACCUGACUAAGAAGCCCCGGCUAACUACGUGCCAGCAGCCGCGGUAAUACGUAGGGGGCAAGCGUUAUCCGGAUUUACUGGGUGUAAAGGGUGCGCAGGUGGCAGGGCAAGUCAGAUGUGAAAGCCCGGGGCUCAACCCCGGUAUUGCAUUUGAAACUGUCCGGCUAGAGUGCAGGAGAGGUAAGCGGAAUUCCUAGUGUAGCGGUGAAAUGCGUAGAUAUUAGGAGGAACACCAGUGGCGAAGGCGGCUUACUGGACUGUAACUGACGCUGAGGCACGAAAGCGUGGGGAGCAAACAGGAUUAGAUACCCCCGUAC